UGCAAACGUUGCUCGGAAUCAUUGGGCUUUAAGCGCACGUAGGCGGUUCGUUAUGUCGGAUGUGAAAGCCCUUGGCUUAACCGAGGAAGUGCAUCCGAAACUGGCGAGCUAGAGUACUAAAGAGGAUCGCGGAAUUCCCGGUGUAGAGGUGAAAUUCGUAGAUAUCGGGAGGAACACCGGUGGCGAAGGCGGCGAUCUGGGUAGAUACUGACGCUGAGGUGCGAAAGCGUGGGGAGCAAACAGG
rnacentral:rRNA from 1 species